GAGUCCUGGCUUUGUUGCUGCUGAUCCUUCCCUUUUUCAUACGUUCUAAGCUUUCUAGCAAACGUGACCUAACAUAAGCCUACCCUUUUAUCUUUCUCUUGUUUUCUUUUACGAUCCCUGUCUUAUUUCUAUUAUUACACCCUUUAUUAAACCUUACCUUCCAUAUCUUUGGCCUUGCUCUUAUCUUCCUCUAAGAUUUCCAUCUCCUCACCUCUCUCUCUUGUCUACUUAAUACCGUUGCCUCCCUCGUCUCAUCACAAUCAACUUGAUAAUGUUCCAGAAUGGACUGAAACGUCGUCGUCUCUUCAAUUUCUAAUGUGUGAUACAGCACCUUGCGUGUUCAGCCACAUGCUUUCUGAACCCCACGAGACUGAGAUUGAAUGGAUAACCUGUUGUGUUCAGUUAAGUGGUUCUUCAUCCUGAAAGAGCAUUGAGUGCAGUUUAAAAGGGCCAGUCCAUGCUGAACCCUACCAAAGGUCACUAGAGGCUUACAAAGUUAGCAAGGCCCAUGCCGUAACAUCAGUCACCGGGGCCACUUGCUGAACAUAGUAUCAAAGACUAGACACAGCCUAGUGGCAUAGGCGGUUGAGAAGGGUGUAAGCAGAGCACUGUAAAACAAGCAUGCAAAAACCCCAUGUUACCUCUCCCAAAAGAAAAAUCCUGACUGUCCCAAACAUCAGAUCUUCACAGAGGAGUCAAAGACCUAUGCACUAGUCAGGGUUAGGCUCCCUCCACAAGAGGAUGGCCUCUUAGGAACAGCCAUCCGAACCACCAGGGAAGAAUCCUGUCAGGACAGGGGCAACACCAGUGAGGGCACCUCGAGAUGCAUGCAGCGCAAGGUGAAAAGGUAAUUAGGGGUCCACACAAGAAGUGAGGCACCGAAAAACAGGCACAUCCACCAAAUACUAAGAAAAGAAACUUCACAAGUAAAUGGGCUUCUGCAAGACAUAGUCCAAGGGAUGGCCAUCUCUAAUCUAAUAAACCGGGAUGCAAAAAGCACCAGUGGAUAUCAGAGUUCAGCCUAGCCUAGCAUAUUUUGCACUAGUUCAAACUGCAUGCAUUGAAUGCAUACAUAUAUUUUCUUCACAUUUUAAUAUUUUUACCAUGGUUUUUUUCAAGUGCAGUUAUGCACUGGGCUGUAAAUAUUAUUUGUACCACAGAAUGUGUAGAAUAUAGAUACACAUAGAUAUAUUCGUGUCACUAAUAUGAGUUCAAUAUUAUAUUCUUCAAGCAAUAAAACAUACUAUUUUUUUAUGUUAUUACAUCAUUAUUAAUAUGUCAUACACAUAUUAUAUAGAAUACAAUCAAAAGUUUUAUGCAAUUCUGGUGACUACUGACUACUAGUGUGUGGCAUCAUCAGCUGACUACUGCCACACACUAGUCAGCUGAUGAUGCCAUCUGACAGAGCACAAUGCCUCCCAAUAUACUAUGCACAUUGCUAUUUCUAGCCACAAUACUAAUACCUACUAGUAUUCUAGUAGUAAAUUACAGUAACUAGAAGUGGAUCUAUUAGAUUUUAUAAAGCCCUUACAAGCAAAA